GCCCUCGUGGUGCAACGGAUAGCACGUCAGAUUCCGGUUCUGAAAAUGUGGGUUCGAUUCCUGCCGAGGGCG
rfam:Bacillus badius strain MTCC 1458 Contig3, whole genome shotgun sequence.